AGUCCUAUAGCAUUGAGAGAGUUCCGUUGGUACAGCAUGAGGCUCUUAAUCUCAGGGUUGUGGAUUCGAGUCCCACUUGGGUAA